rnacentral:SRP_RNA from 1 species
ACCAGGUGUGGUGGGACAUGCUGGUAAUUCCUGCUCCUGCAGAGGUGGAGGCUGGUGGAUCCCUUGGGCUCAGGUACACUGAAGUGCAGUGGGCCAGGUUGAUCAGGUGUCUGCAUGAAGUCCAGAACCAUUAUGGUGAGCCCUAAGAGUCAGGGCCACCGGGUUGCUUACUGGUGGGUGAACCAACCACAGUCAGGAAUGGAGCGGGUCAAACUCCCAUGCUGAUCAGUAUUGGGAUGGACCUGCACUUCCAGCCUGGGGGAGAUGGGGAGAUCCAAUCUCUA